rnacentral:rRNA from 1 species
UACAGAGGCCUCGAGCGUUAGGCGGAAUCACUGGGCUUAAAGCGUGUGUAGGUGGAUGCCUAAGUGCCUUGUGAAAUCCCACGGCUUAACCGUGGAAUUGCUGGGCAUACUGGGUGUCUUGAGCCACUCAGGGGCUACCGGAACAAAUGGUGGAGCGGUGAAAUGCUUAGAUAUGACAUAGAACACCCAUUGCGAAGGCAGCUCGCUACACUAUUAUUGACACUGAGGCACGAAAGCGUGGGGAUCAAACAGG